rnacentral:lncRNA from 1 species
UUUCCUGACAAAUUGCAUUUAUUUAAACACUUAAAGAUCCAGAGAAGGAAAUAAUACCACAACAUAUUCUUCUUUAGAUUUUCUGACUUUAGAGAAUUUUAGUCUCCUACUUUAUCCUUCCAUUCCUUUUUCUCAGGGUAAAUUUUUAUUCAUAAGAUUGCAAAAACAUCACCGGUAUCAAAUUCCAGAACUUUUUCAUCAGUCCUAAAAAAAACCCCCUGUACCCAUAAGUAGUCACUCCCAACUCUCCCCACCCCCCAGCCUUGGAAAAUCACUAAUCUGCUUUCUGUCUUAUGGACUUGGUGAUUCCAGACAUUUCUUAUAAAUGGAAUCACACAACAUGUGGCCUUUUGUGUCUGGCUUCUUAGCGGGUUUUCAAGGUUCAUCCAUGUCAUAGAAUGAAUUCUUUAUUCCUGUUUGUGUCUGAAAAAUAUGCCAUUGUAUGGACAUACAUUUGGUUUAUUCAUUCACUGGUGGAUGUGGGAUGUUCCCACCUUCUGAUGAUUAUCUAUAAUGCUGCUAUGAACAUAAUGUAAAUUUUUGUGUGGGUACAUGUUUUCAAUUCUCUUGGAUAUACAUACUAAGGAGCAGAAUCGUCAGGUCAUGUGGUAACUCUAUGUUUAACUUUUUGAGGAACUGCCCAGUUUUCCAAAGCAGCUGCACCAUUCUGUGUUCACACCAGUAGUUCACCAAUGCUCAUUAUCUUUUAAUUUUAGCCAUUUUAGUGGGUAUGAAAUGUAUGUCAUUGUGGUUGUAGUUUACCCUUCCUUGGUGACUAAUGAUGGGGAGCAUCUUUUCAUGCACUUCUAGGCUAUUGGUAUAUCUUUUUUGGAGAAAUGUCUAUUCAGCUCUUUGUUGGGUUGAAUAAUGUCCCCCCAAAAUUCAUGUCCACUUAGAACCUGUGUAUGCGGCCUAUGUGAAAUAGGCUCUUUGCAGAUGUAAUUAAGUUAAUGAGAAGUCAUACUAGAUUAGGAUGGACCCUGAAUCCAAUCCGACUGUGUCUUUGUAAGAAAAGGGAAAUUUAGGGACGCUUGGGUGGCUCAGUGGUUGAGCAUCUGCCUUUGGCUCAAGGCAUAAUCCCAGGACUCUGGGAUCGAGUCCCACAUCAGGCUCCCUGCAUGAAGCCUGCUUCUCCCUCUGCCUAUGUCUCUGUCUCUCUCGCUCUCUGUCUGUCUCUCAUGAAUAAAUAAAUAAAGUCUUAAAAAAAAAAAAAGAAAAGGGAAAUUUAGACACACACACAGAAUGCUACACAGAGAGAUUGUAGUGAUGUUGUACAAGCCAAGGAAUGCCAGCAACCACUAGAAGCUUGGAGAGGGGUAUGACACAGAUUCUGUUCUGAUUCCCCAGUAGGAACCAACGCUGCUGACACCUUGAUUUCAGACUUCUGGCCUCUAGAAGUGUGAAAGAAUACAUUUCUAUUGUUUUAAGCCACCUAGUUUGUGGUAAUUUGUUAUAUCCACCCUAGGAAACGAUCACCAGUUCCUUUACUCAUUUUUAAAUUGGAUUAUUUGCCUUUUUAUUCACAACUCCAACUAGUUUCAGAGCCUAACAUAUGUGACUUAAUUCCUUCCUUACAAUGAUGUUUUUAUUUAUUUUUAUUUAUUUUUAUUUUUUUAAUUUUUAUUUAUUUAUGAUAGUCACAGAGAGAGAGAGAGAGAGAGAGAGAGAGAGAGAGAGAGAGGCAGAGACACAGGCAGAGGGAGAAGCAGGCUCCAUGCACCGGGAGCCCGACGUGGGAUUCGAUCCCGGGUCUCCAGGAUCGCGCCCUGGGCCAAAGACAGGCGCUAAACCCCUGCGCCACCCAGGGAUCCCUACAAUGAUGUUUUUAAACAAGAUUCUGAUUUAUAUCAUUAACUUCAAAAGCAAAUUUUUGUAUUUUGGUUUUAAAAGGACUACAUAGGUGUAUUUUUAUGUUUAUCCCCUCCCCCCACUUGUUCUCCUAUUCUUGGAAUGACUACUUAUUUUUCCUUGGAAUGACUUUAAACACAUAUUCUUAUAUUUGUUAGGAAAAGUCACACAACUUUUAAGGAAAUACAAGGGAGAAGAGAGAGGAUGCAUGUGGCCGAGUGUCUUUGAUUAAAUGCUUUACUCUGUUCUUGGCGCUCAUUUGUCCAUUCAUGCAACAGGCAUCUAUUGUGUGUCUUCUGAAUAGAUGACAAAAGCAUCACUCUG